rnacentral:rRNA from 1 species
UGGGGAAUAUUGGACAAUGGGCGAAAGCCUGAUCCAGCCAUGCCGCGUGUGUGAAGAAGGCCUUAGGGUUGUAAAGCACUUUAAGCAGGAAAGAAAAGCGCCGGAUUAAUACUCCGAGCGUAUUGACGGUACCUGCAGAAUAAGCACCGGCUAACUCCGUGCCAGCAGCCGCGGUAAUACGGAGGGUGCAAGCGUUAAUCGGAAUUACUGGGCGUAAAGCGUGCGUAGGCGGUUGCGUGUGUCGGAUGUGAAAGCCCCGGGCUCAACCUGGGAAUUGCAUUCGAAACUGCGUGACUAGAAUGUGGUAGAGGAAGACGGAAUUCCACGUGUAGCGGUGAAAUGCGUAGAUAUGUGGAGGAACACCAAUGGCGAAGGCAGUCUUCUGGGCCAACAUUGACGCUGAGGUACGAAAGCGUGGGUAGCAAACAGG